AUGCCGUCGCCGCGCGCAGCGCUUCGCCGUCUUCUCCCCACCACCGGCAUCCAACCUAUCCGGCGCCGCCCCGCACCGCCUCCACCAGCCGACCAGAGCCCCCUACCCGACCCCUACGCUCUCCUCGUCCACGACCCCAUCGACCUCCUCUCCUCGCUGUGGCGCCGCGCCUUCGCUCACCCGCCGUCCACCCCUUUCCCCAACCUCUCCGGCUACGCCUCCCGCCUCGACCUCUGGCUCCUCUCCUACCAGCGCGCCUGCGCCCACGCCACUGGCUCCUUCCCGCCGCGCCAGGCCCCCCGAUUCUCCCCCAAGUCCCACGCCUUCCGCCCUGGACGCGGGCCCCACACCGCCAUCCGCUCUGUUCGCUCCGGCUUCGCCGGUUACCUCUGGUUCAUCACUGCAGACCUCACAACCGUGGUCGACGCCUUAUCGUCAGACACCAUUCUGUCCUGUGUGGAGAAGGCCGUCUCUGAUCGCAAGGUGCUGUCUUUGCUCAAGUCGGCGCUCAACGCCCCCGUCCGGCCCGGGUCUGUGCCGCCAAGGGAGAAGGAUCUCGAUGGACUAACCAAGAAGAGGCUGAAAAGGAAGGUGCUCAGGAAGAGCAGGAAGAAGAAGGUGCUUAAUGAGGAUGAGCCCAAGCCAGACCCAUAUUGGCUGAGACUGUUCUUUGGGUUCGCCCCAGAACAGGCGUGUCACAUUCCGGAAUAUGGGCAUUGCGGGAUAAUUAGUCCAUUGCUCGCCAAUGUGUGCCUUAACGAGUUGGAUUGGUGGAUGGAGGAGAGGAUUAACGAGUACUUCCGCCCAUCAAGGCAUGAUUCGAUAUGGAAGGAGGCGGGCGAUGAAGGAUGCCAUAAUCCAUCUUGGCCUGAGUUUGUUCCGUCAAGUGGGAGGGAGAAGACCAGGAAAAUGGAUUUCCUUAGAUUUGGCUCUCAUGUCUUGAUUGGAGUCCGGGGGCCGAGAGAGGACGUGGUUGAGAUAAGGAGGCAACUAAUGGAGUUUUGUGAGAGAACAUUUGGUUUGAGGCCAGAGAAUUCGUCUGUGGAGAUUGAGCACAUCACAAGGGGGAUUGAAUUCUUGGAUCAUGUCAUUGCUCGCCGGGUCAUCUACCCAACCUUGCGAUACACUGCCAGUGGAGGGAACAUUGUGAGUGAGAAAGGUAUUGGAACAUUGUUAUCUGUCACAGCAAGCUUGCAGAGGUGCAUAAGGCAUUUCAGGAAGCUUGAGCUUGUAAAGGGGGACAGGGAUCCUGAGCCACUGCCAUGUUCACCAAUGCUGUACUCUGGGCAGGCGCACACUAAUUCUCAGAUGAACAAAUUUCUUGAGACCAUGGCUGAUUGGUAUAGGUAUGCGGACAACCGGAAGAAGAUUGUAGGGUUCUGCGGAUAUGUUAUACGGAGCUCUUUGGCAAAGCUUUAUGCGGCAAGGUAUAGACUAAAAUCCCGUGCUAAGGUUUACAAGAUUGCAUCGCGUGAUCUCAGCUGCCCGUUGAGGGAGAGCACAAACAAUGAUGCACCAGAAUACUCUGAUCUCUUGAGGAUGGGGGUUGUUGAUAUUAUUGAGGGUGUACAAUUUGCGCGCAUGUCAUCAAUUCCAUCAUGUGAUUAUACAACUUUCCCUAGGAACUGGGUACCUCACCAUGAGCUUGUAUUGCAUGAGUAUAUCAAACUGCAAGAUCCAAAGUUCUUCUGCGAACUUCACAAGACAAUCAAACGACGGGAGAUAAGUUCACCACAGGAUGAUGUAUCGAAGAUGGUGUGGCAUUAUAAGGUUCAUGGUGUUUAUGAUAACAACAAGGUCUCAAAGAAAUUAAAUGAAUGGAGGAGUAAUGGUGAAGCUGUCAAUGGGGACACACAACUUCUGUUGGAUAAGUAG
rnacentral:rRNA from 1 species